CCUACGGGCGGCUGCAGUGGGGAAUAUUGGACAAUGGGGGGAACCCUGAUCCAGCCAUGCCGCGUGUGUGAAGAAGGCCCUCGGGUUGUAAAGCACUUUCAGUGAGGAAGAACGCCUGGUGGUUAAUACCCAUCAGGAAAGACAUCACUCACAGAAGAAGCACCGGCUAACUCCGUGCCAGCAGCCGCGGUAAUACGGAGGGUGCGAGCGUUAAUCGGAAUUACUGGGCGUAAAGCGCGCGUAGGUGGCUUGAUAAGCCGGUUGUGAAAGCCCCGGGCUCAACCUGGGAACGGCAUCCGGAACUGUCAAGCUAGAGGGCAGGAGAGGAAGGUAGAAUUCCCGGUGUAGCGGUGAAAUGCGUAGAGAUCGGGAGGAAUACCAGUGGCGAAGGCGGCCUUCUGGACUGACACUGAUACUGAGGUGCGAAAGCGUGGGUAGCAAACAGGAUUAGAUACCCUUGUAGUC
rnacentral:rRNA from 1 species